CCACCCCUCCGACCCCAGAGCCAGGUCCCUCUCUUCCCGUCAUCGAGCUCCGCCGACGCCUUAUCGCCGUUGAGCCCAGAACCCAAACCCUCUCCCUUCCGACGAACCCUGGUCCCUCUCUUCUCGCCGUCGAGCUCCGCAGAACCCAAACCCUCUCCCUCCCUAGAUCCUGGUCCCUCUCUUCUCGCCGUCGCCUUCUCGCCAUCGAUAGCCAGGUCCCGCUUUGUCGCCGUCGAGCUCCUCCUCCGCCUUCAACCUCCUCCUCCGCGAUCUGCCCUUCAACCUAGGUUGGACCUCUUUCAAUUUUCAGGAAACGAGCUUCAGGAAGAUUUUUGGCUCCUUUCUCUCCCGAUUGAGAGGGUAUGCAAGUUACUUAUAUCAAACCAAUGCAAAACAAAAAAGUUAUGGUUGUUGUUUUACUUUAUGUCCGACAAGUACUAUGUCCGUGCUUGCAUGGAUUGUUUUGAUCUCUUUGGUUUAUAUUUGUUGAUUUAUACACAUUCAAAUGCGUUAAGCUACACUAGUAUACACAUUCAAAUGCGCAUCAUAGUGUUUACUGUUUAGCAUUAUUACCGUUAGCUGCAAAUAUAUAUAUAAGCAUGUUUGUUCUUGUGAUUUUUUUGACUGUCCUCUUAAGAUGAUUUAUAUAUAAUCUAUGGAUUCAUUUGUUUA